GACGAACGCUGGCGGCGUGCCUAAUACAUGCAAGUCGAGCGGACUUUCAAGAAGCUUGCUUUUUGAAAGUUAGCGGCGGACGGGUGAGUAACACGUGGGCAACCUGCCUGCAAGAUGGGGAUAACUCCGGGAAACCGGGGCUAAUACCGGAUAAUAUCUUCCUUCGCAUGAAGGAAGGUUGAAAGGCGGCGCAAGCUGCCGCUUGCAGAUGGGCCCGCGGCGCAUUAGCUAGUUGGUGAGGUAACGGCUCACCAAGGCGACGAUGCGUAGCCGACCUGAGAGGGUGAGCGGCCACACUGGGACUGAGACACGGCCCAGACUCCUACGGGAGGCAGCAGUAGGGAAUCUUCCGCAAUGGACGAAAGUCUGACGGAGCAACGCCGCGUGAGCGAAGAAGGUCUUCGGAUCGUAAAGCUCUGUUGUCAGGGAAGAACAAGUACCGUUCGAACAGGGCGGUACCUUGACGGUACCUGAACAGAAAGCCACGGCUAACUACGUG
rnacentral:rRNA from 1 species